GGUUGGAAAUGUGUGUUUGCAGUUGGACUGACCUUUUACUGGAUUCCUCCAAUCACGCAAUACCAUCAGCGCUAGGAGGUUGAAGGGAAGCACAAGUUUCCUCUGAGUUGUUACAGCAACCUCCCCAUCUUUUCGGGCCAAUGAUGGUGAUAUGGCUGCAACUGAACGGGUGAUUGAGGAGGCUGUUCUUGGGAUCUGUGUGACUAGAGUUGAGGGAGCUGAAGCCAUGGACAGGGGGGCCAAUACUGGAGUGGUAUUAGAAGGUGGUGUGGUUCUAGAAGACCUGGGCAGUGUGUUCCUUGCCUUUGCAGUUCGGGCUGAUUUAUGCCUUAUAUAUUUAUAACCUUAUGAUUUAGACCUUGAGUUACCCUCCUACAUUCAGAUACACUUUUGAUGUACUCCAAAAACUGUUUCUGGAACUAGAUGCUAACAAACUGUCUCAUAAAGCUCAAUUACUAAAUAUAAAGCUGUUCAGUGAGAUGUAGUCCAUACUAAGUAUCACACUUGUGAUGUACUGUUUAUCGAAUUCGACUGUGUUUGCACUUUCUGAACUUCAAUGUUGGCACUGACUUUUGUACAUAAUUCAGAUUUAUAAGUGUUUCAUGCCCAUGUUUUGUAGACAUUUCACUUAACUGUGUACUGCUUUGUUAAACAUUUUCCAUUGAAAUGAAUUCUGAUUGCACUUAUUGUAUGCUGUAUUGUGU